rnacentral:rRNA from 1 species
UACGUAGGGCGCAAGCGUUGUCCGGAAUUAUUGGGCGUAAAGGGCGCGUAGGCGGUGCGGUAAGUCUGUAGUGAAAUCUCUGGGCUCAACUCAGAGUCUGCUAUAGAAACUGCCGUGCUUGAGUGUGGGAGAGGUGAGUGGAAUUCCCAGUGUAGGAGUGAAAUCCGUAGAUAUUGGGAGGAACACCGAUGGCGUAGGCAGACUACUGGCUCAUUUCUGACACUAAGGCACGAAAGCGUGGGGAGCGAACGGG